CCGUCGAAGAUGCUCGAAGAUUGUUCUCGGGCCACCAUUUCUAAAUUCUAACUGUCUCCAAAGCAAGAUGUCAGCAGUAAAUCCCGUUCUGCUGUUCUGCUCUGUUCCGUCGUUAUUCUUUUCCAACCCGACUAUACACCUCUCUCUCAAUUCCGAUGGACAUGGACUACUCGAGUGGCGCGUCGGCGUCGGGGAGGACGCGGGCGCGGUGGUGCUACUGCCGCUGCUUCCGCCGUUGGUGCCGCUGCUUCUGCGGCUGCUACUGCUGCAACUCCUUCCCCGACGAGCCCCACGUCGACCGCCGCGCCGCAGCCUACGCCUAGGGUCCUGGACACUCUUCACUCGCAGGGAGACUCGCAUAUAGACAUAUGAGCACUAUGAGAGAACUGAAUUCUGUCUGUCAUAUAACUAGGAAAAUGGCUACCUUACUCUUCAAGUAGAUGUUGAAGAAGAUAUUACAGCUUCAGAGCUCUCUUUUUUGGAAUUUGGAUGGUUGCUGGACAGUAAAUGUAUUAAUGUGUUACUUGUGAGGAGGCUGCUUAUAGUACUUCGCUUAUAAUGUUACCUAGAAGUCCCAAUCAUGAUGUGAAUCAGAGUAGCACUUCCUGUGUUGUUAAUAUGUGUACCAUGGUUUGCUAAACUGAGAUUGAAUGCUUGUAAAAUUGAACUGGUGUUUCUGUAAAUAUGUCAGAAAUAAAGAGAAUUAUGUUUUUCUGUUUUGCUCCCAA